CCUCAGUGUUGGUCUCCCACCGUAGUAGGUUCUCCCACCUCAGGAAAAGGGCACAGAGGGCAGGCUGAGGCAGCAGCAGCAGCAGAAGACGCCUUUCCAGCAAUUUUUGGAUUACUGCAAGAGCUUCAUUAUGGCAGUCUGUUAACCUACUCAGAGUUUGGAUGGGAGUUGGAUGGAUGGAUGGAUUGAUGUAUUUUUCUAACCUUCACACAGGAAAGAACUGGGCAUGGUGAAGCAGGUGACAGUAACAAAAAGAAGAAGAAAUGAGACUUAACAACUUUAACAAGUGGCAAACAUGUUACUGCUCCGUCCACUUGGAAAUAAUCCAGGAAGUCCAAAAGGAAAACUAAAGGGAAGUUGGUGUCAGAUUGUGAGAUAUUGAAGAUUAUAAAGGAGCCCCCCUUGAUGGACAGAAGAGGAAGGCUGUAGUGUCAUCUUCUCCUGGUCUGUUUCUCUGUGGAUGAAUCAGGCAGACAUGUGCCUAGCUUUCAAAUCAAUCACUAAGACGCAUUUCAGUGUCUAUUGAUUAACACAUUAUAUCAUUAAAAAUAUAUAUAAUUUUAACCGGAUCACAGGAACAUAUCAUAAGAACAUAAAGAUAGUAAGAAAAAAAAAACAUGCAUUGAAAUCAGAGGAAACCAAAAUGACCAUAAUUGCUUGUAUACUUAGAUAACUGAAAAUAGCUUCCAAAUUGUAAAUGCUUUUCCUUCACAUAGAAACAGAGUGAUAUUAAUGCAGUUUGACAAAUUUAUAGCAAACAGAUUUUUACUUCCUCUUUCAUUUUGUGACCUGUUUUGAGAUCAGUGUUUAGUAGAUUGAUAGGUCUAUAUGAUUCUGGAUUAAGGCAGUGUUGUAUUACACUAGAACACCUACGCAUCCUGUUUCCUUGUUGUUCUCAUGAACUAAAACCUUACCUCAGUACAGUACAAGAAAUCUGUGUUUGAAAAACUAACUUGGACAUGUCUCUCAGCUAUGUACGGCCAUCUCCUUUCUGUACAGUGGCAAUACCAUCAAAGUUGAACUCGUUGUCAUGCAAACAGCACCACAUUACAAUUUAAUUGUUUUUAUAUCAUAUUUUCCUGUGACGUAUUGUUCACUUACAUCUAUAAUUUGUUGUCCUUUUCUGUUUCAGACUGUUAUUUAUGAUGACAAUAAACACGGAUUAAGAUGU
rnacentral:lncRNA from 1 species